UACGGAGGGGGCUAGCGUUGUUCGGAAUUACUGGGCGUAAAGCGCACGUAGGCGGCUUUGUAAGUUAGAGGUGAAAGCCCGGAGCUUAACUCCGGAACUGCCUUUAAGACUGCAUCGCUUGAAUCAUGGAGAGGUUAGUGGAAUUCCGAGUGUAGAGGUGAAAAUUCGUAGAUAUUCGGAAGAAACACCAGUGGCGAAGGCGACUAACUGGACAUGUAUUGACGCUGAGGUGCGAAAGCGUGGGGAGCAAACAGG
rnacentral:rRNA from 1 species